GUGCUUGCUUUCUCAGUACAUAUACUAAAGAAUUGGAAGAAUAGAGAUUAGCAUGGCCCCUGCACAAGAAUGACAUGCAAAUUUGUGAAGCGUUCGAUAUUUUU
rfam:Myotis brandtii contig129152, whole genome shotgun sequence.